rnacentral:rRNA from 1 species
AUGGAGCGCGAGCCGACCAGUUCAACGGAGGCAGUAGCACGGGGCAGCGGCAGCAGCAUGGAGGGCGUCCGCUUGACUGGGAAGGUGAUGGAACUGCAAAUAGGAGUGGCAGCGGCAACCAUGAUGCAAGUGCAAUUGGUUCCCAAAGCUCUUGGAAAGGAAUUAAAGAUAAUAACUUAUAUGAUCCUUGGAACCAUACAUGGCCGUAUUAUGGGGGUUAGGAAGGUCAAGGAGUGGCUGAAUGAGGAUGAAGAGGAUCCAAUUGUGGAUGGAGCUGAUGCGGCAAGUGCUAUUUUUGAGAGAAUAAGGCGCCUCAACUCAAGCAGGAAGGAUUCUUAUGUUGGUACGAAGGCUAAUAAGAAGAAAAGAAAGAGGAGUCAUGAUGAGGAGAAUGAGUAUGUCGAAACUGAGAGUGAGGAUGAUGACAACAAGAAUGAGUAUGUUGAUAAUGAGAGUGAGGAUGAUGAUGGGGUGAGUGAGGAUGAUGAGGAUGAUCAACAAGAUCAGCAAGAAACACAAAUGCAAGUGGAAGAAGAGAUACAAGUACAAGUCGAAAAGGAGACACAAGCAAGCUUGGCAAUUUGGAGACUCGUAGAUCUGGCCGACUAG